AGGUACAGAUUUUUUGGUCAGGAUGCCGAAAAUGCUGCUAGAGUUUUGGGUAUUUAUGCACAUAUGGACCACAAUUUCUUGACAGCUAGUGUACCCACGUUUCGGUUGAAUAUUCAUGUGAGGAGGCUGGUGAGUGCAGGGUACAAAGUUGGUGUUGUUAAACAAACGGAAACUGCUGCAAUUAAGGCUCAUGGAUCGAAUAAAUUGGGCCCUUUUGGCCGUGGGUUGUCAGCAUUGUACACGAAAGCCACUUUGGAGGCUUCUGAAGAUGUAGGGGGUGGAGAUGAGGGGUUCGGGUCAUGUAAUAACUAUUUGGUUUGUG
rnacentral:misc_RNA from 1 species